ensembl:lncRNA
GCCCCGCCCCGCCCGCCAAUCGCCGCCCGCCCUCCCGCCGGGGUGAUGCAACGCCCGCCCUGAUUGGCAGUCCCCGCGGCCAAUCACGCUCCCUCGCGCUCAAAGGGCGCGGCCGUGUUUGUGUGGGGACGUUGCGGGGCCCUCGGCGGCCCCGGGCGGGGGUGCGGUGCGCGCGGCGCUGCCUCGGAGCUGAGAGGGCUCUACGCGGCACUGCCGUGCUCUGCCCCGCCGUUGGGGGGCGCUCGCUGCGUCGCGCUCGCUGCGGCCCGGCCCCGGCCCGGCCCCGGACGCCAUCUUCUCGCCUCGGGCGUGAGGGAGUCGCCGAGGCCUGCGGGGCGGGCGGCGCUGCCUUCGUGUGCCCCUCAGGCUGAGGGGAAGGAGCUGAAAGUACGGCCUGAAACCUUCUGAGUGUCUGAGAUUAUGGGUUACGUUUCUUUGCAAGCAUCUCAAAAAGACUAACUCUCUGAGCCGGCUGUUAGUGCUUUCCAGCCGCCCUGGCUCCCACCCCCUGAGCUCUGACCGAGCGCGUGCCGUAAUGUAACGUCCCCCUCUCUGAAGGACCGCGUGUGUAAAACGUGCUCAGCAGCUGAUGCGCACCUCUUCUGUAAAGCCCUGUGGAAGAUGAGCCCCGUUUGCGGAAGAAUGCUGAGGUGACUCAUCCAUCUGUAACUAGAGCAAAAAUUCCAGGCAGGUAUGGUGUAUCUCGUAUCCCCAGGAGAAAAUAAAGGAAGUAUGCCAUGUCAUCAUCCUUCCAGAAAGUCAAUUCUCCCAGUUUGGUGCCCAGUGGUACACGUGCACUGGCAGUUGGCAUAAAUGCCAAUAGUCACUUGGCAGAGACUGAAGCUUACUCUCCUAAAUUGUCCCUGAAGAUCAUUUCCAAUCAUGCCCAGGUAUUUGCUGAAUGGACGCAUCGCAAGGAGGACUUUACCAAAGUGCACACAGUCACAGAAAUCUUUACAGCUCAACAGUGAAUGUGGUAACAGUCAUAACCAUUUGCCCAGGUUUUUGAGGCCCUCCUGCAGGGAGUACAGGCAUUGCUUUGAAGUCACAUACAGUUCCAGUGGAAAUGUGAUUUGGCAGUUGGAGAAAAGGACUUUGCUUACCAGGAAAUGAAAUUGUAAAGUACAUGGUUUAUGUACUUUACAUCAUCUUUUAUGUACCUUACAUAAAGGUACCUUUACAUCUUAUGUACCUUACAUCAUCUUUUUCCUCUUGUUAAAAGCACUUUGACAUUAGGGGACUCUGCAGGUGGGACAAAACUGAAGAUUGCAAAGCAUGUGCUUGUGCUUUUCCUCCUUUAAAAAAAAAAAAUGAAGACAGGAUGAGAGCACACAGGUGUCCUCCUAGCAGAAGCAUGAGCAUGGGCAGCCGCAGUUUCAGAGAGCUCCAGGCAGAAGGGACUGCCUUGCUUCUAACAUGUGGGAUGUUGUGCUGCACUGGUGCUGUAAGUAACUGGAAAGUCUUGGGCACAAAUGUCAAUGCCUUGAGCACAACAGGCUUAUAACAAAAUAUUUAAUUUGCCUAAACACUGAUCUGAUGUGGGGACAUUUAUCAGACAGUACUUUCUGGGAUCCACAGAGAAUACUGCGGCAUACUGUGAAGCAGUCUUUAUGUCUCUGGAUUUCAUCACGUGAAGGGACACCAGCUGUGGCUGUAAGUUGAAUGGGGAGUUACAGGCAGCUCUGAGAUACUUCACAUUAUAGCAGCAUUGGUAGCUGAGCUGUGGGAAAGCUAAAGAGUACGCAAGCUUUUAUUUAGUAUUUGAGUGCUUUUGAAAAGAUUUCUUGAAAGAUUUGCAGUAGGCUUAAAAUUUGAUACAUGCUGCAUAUUCUGCUACUCUACCACCAGAUGGGUUUCUUGGCCUUGACUAAAAUACAUAGACCCAAGAAUUUACAAGUGUUGCAGUCCUACAAGGGAGACUGAAUAGUUCUGAGCCUAUUGAGAGAAAGAGGCCAAGGGGCACUGGGACAAAGUCUGGUUUCCUGAAGACUGAGUUUUCAGUUGAUGUGUCAGGAGAUUAGUGCUCCACCUUGAGCAUUUCCCACCAUUUGCAGAGUUAGCUUUUCUCAUAAAGUAGGCACCUAUAUUUGUCUUCCAUAAAAUGCAGGCACGGUGGAAUCAGCAACUGAGCUUGCAGCUCUGUGCAAGGGGCAGCUCCAGUGAGGAGACCUAUGGUGUUUUUUACUUCCUUAAAUAAAUGCAAACAAGUGCCUCA